AAAAUGAGAAGAAACUUUUUGGGAUAAUUCCAUCUUUGAUAGAGAUUGGAUAUAAAAAUAACAAGUUAUUAAAUAUUGACCAUUCAAAUGUAUUUAUUAUUGAGAGAGGAAAGCUAGCAUGUAUCGUUCUUAUAGGAUAGGUAUUUUAUGAUGUAUGUACAGUAUGUAGAUUGUGUGGUUAUUUAUUUGUUUCAUACUAUUAUGCAGAAUUUAGUCAGCACAUAAAUUUGCCUGCAAGGCACUGAUUAUGACUCGGUGUGUAACAGUACAUAUAAGUGGAAUCACUCUCUUAAUAUUAAUUUAUGCAUUUAAAUUAAAGUAUUUCAUCGUGAUUUAAAUCUUAAGUUUUUGCCAAAUUAAAAAGAAUUAUUAUUUUUUAAUAUGUUAUAAAUAUAAUGAAUUCCACAUAUAUGAACUGCAAACUAUGAGGCAAUUGUCUUUAUUAAGUAGUAUUAUUGUAGAUAAUUGAUUAAUUAUCAGUGAUUAUUAAUGAAGUUUUUGCACAUGAAUUUAGCCAUUCAUGGAGGCACACGGACAGGAUCCCAUUCGGACCUCACUCAGUCGGUGAUGAGGGACCACGGCGAGAAUAUAUAUAUACUUAUAACAAUCCUGCUGAGUGGGGAAUGAGGCAAAACAAAUAAUUCGGAUUUUUUCCUUUUUUAUUAGUUUAUUUCUUUUCCUCAAAUCCGGGGAAUCUGUCCAUCGUCCCCAUUUUCCAUCCUUUAUACCUCAUCCCCUAAAUUAAUAUAAAAUUUUAUAUUCCAAAAAUUGAUAGAAUGUUUCAAUACCAGAGAAGGCUUAAAGCAUACAAAAAUCAAAAAGUCCACUCCCAUUUCUUCUCUUUGAAAAUCAAAAAAACAAAAGUAAAUAUCAAAAUCUUUUUACUUUCCGGUCACGGAAAGACAUCAAGAACUCCCAUUCGUUGUUUUAAUUUUUUAUGAUUUUGUUUCGAAGUUUGUACUAAGUAUACGUAAUCGUUUCUGCCGUUAUUUAAAAGAGAGGCGAUCUCUCUUAAGAGUACAAAGUACCUCACUGACAACUAUCGUCUCUUUCCUAUUUUCCUUUUCUAAAUCCUUAAAAAUAUGGGGGAAGACUAAAGGGUCCGAUGUAUUCCGCCCAGCUAUCAAAUCCAUUCAGUCGGGACGAUUGCCAAAAAUUUCUCUAGCGUCCGUAAGUAGUAAGGGAUCACUCAUAACUGUAAGUCAAUGGACAGCAGGGUGCCAGCCACCUCCCUCGCCCCCAAGUCACAUAGAAAUCCUGCCAUUUAUUGGACGGAACCAUUUUUCUCAGCCAUUUCCCUCCGUCCGCUGAAAAAGGUUAUCGAUCGUUCCUACCCCCAUUCAAUUUAUACCCCUGCAGUACCUAAUGACCGCUGGCUUCAACCCCGCAUCCUUAGCAGGACUAUAAAUAUUCCGAUGCCCUCGGUCAACUCGCCCGCCCUUUCAUAAUUCCCCCGUUUUUGUUCAUUUUAAUAAUUAUUUGCAUUUUUUUACAUAGUUACGAAUGAAGGGAUAGAUGCGUAUGCCCUUUAGUAUUAAGCUACCUCAAUCGCCAAAUAAAUGGAAUCGGACCCUUGUCAAUCUUCCGGUUUGAAUUCCUUUCUUUUUUGUUUACAUAUGAUGUAAAAAUAUCUUGUUUUUUUUUUUUUUUUUAAUUCUUUUCAGUUGUGUUUGUUUAUUAUCUUUUUUACACCAAUGUAGAUUUUAAAUAUUUUAUAGCAAUGUGUUUUAUCUAUAUAUCUAGACUUUUUUAUAGCCUAUUUACUUGUUCAGAUUUGUUCAUCCUAUCCCAGCAUGCGU
rnacentral:lncRNA from 1 species